UACGAAGGGGGCUAGCGUUGCUCGGAAUCACUGGGCGUAAAGCGCACGUAGGCGGAUUGUUAAGUCAGGGGUGAAAUCCUGGAGCUCAACUCCAGAACUGCCUUUGAUACUGACGGUCUUGAGUCCGGGAGAGGUGAGUGGAACUCCGAGUGUAGAGGUGAAAUUCGUAGAUAUUCGGAAGAACACCAGUGGCGAAGGCGGCUGUCUGGUCCGGUUCUGACGCUGAGGCGCGAAAGCGUGGGGAGCAAACAGG
rnacentral:rRNA from 1 species